GGCAGAAAAAAGCCGAAUUUCCCUAACGGGAAUACGGGGGAACAAUUUUGGGGUGAAUCCUUAUACGACGUAUAAGGUAGGGCGCCUCGGCCCAAACCCGUCAACUAACCUCGGAGGCUGUUAGGAGGGAAAAA
rnacentral:sRNA from 2 species